rnacentral:rRNA from 1 species
GAAGUUAAGCCCGCUUGCGCCGAUGGUACUGCAAUGCAAUGCGGGAGAGUAGGUGGCCGCCUUUU